rnacentral:tRNA from 1 species
GCAGGAUUAGCUCGAAGGUCGAGCCCGCGGUCGAUAACCGCGAGGCGUUGGUUCGAUUCCAACAUCCUGCACCA